rnacentral:lncRNA from 1 species
AAAUUUUCAGAUGAAUCGGACAACCCGUUGUUAGGUUGCUGCCCCUGAAUUGGUAAUUUUAAGGAAAUUUUGCUGUUUUUGGUUAUUAUCUUGAAUAUUAUUAUAGAUAAAGAUAAACUGUAAACAGCAAUAAUGUUCAUCAAAGUAAGAUUUACAAAUAAGUUAACAUGACCAAAAUGGUCAGUUGACCCCUUUAGGAGUAAUUGCCCUUUAUAGUCAAUUUUUAACCAUUUUUCGUGAAUCUUAGUAAUCUUUUAGAAAAAUCUUCUCCUCUGAAACUACUGGGCCAUAUUAAACCAAACUUGGCCACAAUCAUCAUUGGGGUAUUUAGUUUAAAAAAUGUGUCCAGUGACUCUGGCAACCAACCAAGAUGGCCGCCAUGGCUAAAAAUAGAACAUAGGGG